rnacentral:other from 1 species
GCGGGGCUGCCCGGUGCGACAGGCAAGUAAACCCCCGGGGCCAAUGAGCAUCUCCCGGGAGCUGGCUCUGACCGGAUCUUGGUCCGGUUAUCUGGUGCCCACCUGCAAAGCAGGCCUUGGGAGGGUUCGACGCCAACGGCCAUGGUGGCUCCGCA